rnacentral:tRNA from 2 species
GGGGGCGUAAUUCAAAGGUAGAGUGCCUGCUUUGCAAGCAGGAAGUUACUGGUUCAAGUCCAGUCGUCUCCA